rnacentral:rRNA from 1 species
UACGGAGGGUGCGAGCGUUGUCCGGAAUCACUGGGCGUAAAGGGCGCGUAGGCGGCCUGCUAAGUCGAACGUGAAAUCCCUGGGCUCAACCCAGGAACUGCGUCCGAUACUGGUUGGCUUGAAUCCGGGAGAGGGAUGUGGAAUUCCAGGUGUAGCGGUGAAAUGCGUAGAUAUCUGGAGGAACACCGGUGGCGAAGGCGACAUCCUGGACCGGCAUUGACGCUGAGGCGCGAAAGCCAGGGGAGCAAACGGG